UACGUAGGGUGCAAGCGUUAAUCGGAAUUACUGGGCGUAAAGCGUGCGCAGGCGGUUUUGUAAGUCUGACGUGAAAUCCCCGGGCUCAACCUGGGAAUUGCGUUGGAGACUGCAAGGCUGGAGUCUGGCAGAGGGGGGUAGAAUUCCACGUGUAGCAGUGAAAUGCGUAGAGAUGUGGAGGAACACCGAUGGCGAAGGCAGCUUUCUGGCUCGUAACUGACACUGAGAUUCGAAAGCUUGGGUAGCAAACAGG
rnacentral:rRNA from 1 species